AGUUGCGAACGGGUGAGUAACGCGUAGGUAACCUGCCUGAUAGCGGGGGAUAACUAUUGGAAACGAUAGCUAAUACCGCAUAAGAGGUAAUAACACAUGUUAUURGUUUAAAAGGGGCAAYUGCUCCACUAUCAGAUGGACCUGCGUUGUAUUAGCUAGUUGGUAAGGUAACGGCUUACCAAGGCGACGAUACAUAGCCGACCUGAGAGGGUGAUCGGCCACACUGGGACUGAGACACGGMCCAGACUCCUACGGGAGGCAGCAGUAGGGAAUCUUCGGCAAUGGGGGCAACCCUGACCGAGCAACGCCGCGUGAGUGAAGAAGGUUUUCGGAUCGUAAAGCUCUGUUGUAAGAGAAGAACGGAUGUGGGAGUGGAAAAUCCAUGUCGUGACGGUAUCUUACCAGAAAGGGACGGCUAACUACGUGCCAGCAGCCGCGGUAAUACGUAGGUCCCGAGCGUUGUCCGGAUUUAUUGGGCGUAAAGCGAGCGCAGGCGGUUUCAUAAGUCUGAAGUUAAAGGCAGUGGCUUAACCAUUGUACGCUUUGGAAACUGUGAGACUUGAGUGCAGAAAGGGAGAGUGAAAUUCCAUGUGUAGCGGUGAAAUGCGUAGAUAUAUGGAGGAACACCGGUGGCGAAAGCG
rnacentral:rRNA from 1 species